CGCACCGUGAGUCUUCUCCUCUCCCCACCGUCACUGCCGCCGACGAGCCCAAAACCACUCCCCACCGUGCGAUGACCAGCUCUACCACCCCUGGGACCCUCACCGACCCGGCCCAUUGGCACAACCGUUAAGGUCAACAGCGCAGACUCCUAUAUCGCCUUCAAUUGCGCCAGGUGGCCUCCACCACGCAAAGAAGGCCAAGGCCUCUUGAGACCCUCGGGCUCUCUGAGACUUUUACAAGAAAUCUCCUAUUCAUCAAUGUCUCUUUCAGGUACUCUCUCUUUAUCUCUCUCUCGCAUUAGAUUUGACUGAUUGGUUAGCUUCUAGUGCUUGUUUUACUUAGUGACUUAUGGAGCUUUGUUGGAAAAAGAUUUGCUGAAGAAGAAAAGAAGUGGGUUUAUCUCAGUGUUUUAUUUCCUUUUGACCAAUGCGAUGAUAUGAUCAGAUGGUUACAAAUUGUAAAUUUUAAUGUAUUUUCAUUGGUAGGGUGCUGGAAUUCAGACUACUGGGCAUACAUUGAAUAAGUUGCUUAAAAUGCAAUGAGUUUAAAGUUGGUGUAAGAGACAUCAUCCAAGCAGGACAUAGAGAGCACUAUCAGGUUCUCAUAAUUUUUUUCUUCUUCCUUUUGAUUUCCUAAAAUGUUCUUGUACGUGCUUGAUAUCUGUCACAUGACAUGGAGAGCGCUAUCAAGUUCUCAGAAUUUUUUUUCUUCUUUCUUGUGAUUUCCUAAAAUGUUCCAAUAGGCAGGGUGGAUACGAAAACUCAUGUAUCAUUUAUAUAUGUGUAUAUUUAUAAUGUUUUGUGUGUGCUCAGUUGUUGUUGAUUGCUUGUGUUCAUGUUUGAAAAUUUGCGAACUUAUUGGUGGUAUCCUAAUACAUAUAUGCUACUUAAGGUUAUAGCUCAGGCUUCAUUUAGAUGGAAUCAGGGAAAGGAUAUUUGUUUGUGGUGUUGAAUAAGGCCAAUGUAAUCAAGAUAUGAAUUUGUACCAUAUAGAGUUCUUAAGGCCAGUCAAAACUUCUUUAGAGCUUUUUUGACUGAGGGGUUACUCGAGUAAUGAGUGCUUUUAUCAAGAGUAGAAGAUAAUUUAGCCUCUAAUUUUGUGUCUCAAAAGUGCAUGCUAGGAUUUAUCAAUAAAUUUUCUGGCAUUUUCUUUUAAGAAGCAAAAUUCUACAUUUCUUCUAUAUUGGCUGAGGUGUGCUUGUAGUUGGAUAGUAAAUGAUAUUAUUAUAUCGAUUUUGAUGUUGAAAUAUGUUGUUCAUAUGGUUGCUAAGAUUUUAUGCU